GCUUACACAUGCAAGUCGAACGAGAUCCAUGGUGUAGCAAUACACCGGAAGAUCUAGUGGCGAACGGGUGAGGAACACGUGAGAAACCUGCCCCAGACUCUGGGAUAACAAGUGGAAACGCUUGCUAAUACCGGAUGACGUCGGAGAACCGCAUGGUUCGCUGACGAAAGGAAUUCUGGUUUGGGAGGGUCUCGCGGCCUAUCAGCUUGUUGGUGGGGUAACGGCCUACCAAGGCUACGACGGGUAGCUGGUCUGAGAGGAUGAUCAGCCACACUGGGACUGAGACACGGCCCAGACUCCUACGGGAGGCAGCAGUGGGGAAUCUUGCACAAUGGAGGAAACUCUGAUGCAGCGAUGCCGCGUGAGUGAAGAAGGCCUUUGGGUUGUAAAGCUCUUUUGUAGGGGAAGAUAAUGACUGUACCCUAAGAAUAAGGUCCGGCUAACUUCGUGCCAGCAGCCGCGGUAAUACGAAGGGACCUAGCGUAGUUCGGAAUUACUGGGCGUAAAGCGCGCGUAGGCCGUUGAGUUAGUUAAUUGUGAAAUCCCAAAGCUUAACUUUGGAACUGCAAUUAAAACUGCUCGACUAGAGUUUGAUAGAGGAAAGCGGAAUACAUAGUGUAGAGGUGAAAUUCGUAGAUAUUAUGUAGAACACCAGUUGCGAAGGCGGCUUUCUGGAUCAACACUGACGCUGAGGCGCGAAAGUAUGGGUAGCAAAGAGGAUUAGAUACCCUCGUAG
rnacentral:rRNA from 1 species